rnacentral:rRNA from 1 species
AUUGAACGCUGGCGGCAGGCCUAACACAUGCAAGUCGAGCGGGGUUUUCGGACCUAGCGGCGGACGGGUGAGUAAUGCAUAGGAAGCUACCCGAUAGAGGGGGAUACCAGUUGGAAACGACUGUUAAUACCGCAUAAUGUCUACGGACCAAAGUGUGGGACCUUCGGGCCACAUGCUAUCGGAUGCCCCUACGUGGGAUUAGCUAGUUGGUGAGGUAAUGGCUCACCAAGGGGACGAUCCCUAGCCGGUUUGAGAGGAUGAUCAGCCACACUGGAACUGAGACACGGUCCAGAGUCCUAGGGGAGGUUGCAGUGGGGAAUAUUGGACAAUGGGCGCAAGCCUGAUCCAGCCAUGCCGCGUGUGUGAAGAAGGCCUUCGGGUUGUAAAGCACUUUCAGUAGGGAGGAAGCGUUGUGUGUUAAUAGUACACAGCGUUGACGUUACCUACAGAAGAAGCACCGGCUAACUCUGUGCCAGCCGCCGCCGUAACAC